rnacentral:rRNA from 1 species
GACGAACGCUGGCGGCGUGCUUAACACAUGCAAGUCGAACGGUGAAGCGCCUUCCUUUUUGGUGGGUGUGGAUGAGUGGCGAACGGGUGAGUAACACGUGAGUAACCUGCCCCCUUCUUCUGGAUAACCGCAUGAAAGUGUGGCUAAUACGGGAUAUUCUGGGUCUGUCGCAUGAUGGGUCUGGGAAAGAUAUUGUUUCGGUGGGGGAUGGGCUCGCGGCCUAUCAGCUUGUUGGUGGGGUGAUGGCCUACCAAGGCGGUGACGGGUAGCCGGCCUGAGAGGGUGGACGGUCACACUGGGACUGAGACACGGCCCAGACUCCUACGGGCGGCAGCAGUGGGGAAUAUUGCACAAUGGGCGCAAGCCUGAUGCAGCGACGCCGCGUGAGGGAUGGAGGCCUUCGGGUUGUGAACCUCUUUCGCCAGUGAAGCAGGCCUGCCUCGUUUGUGGGUGGGUUGACGGUAGCUGGAGAAGAAGCGCCGGCUAACUACGUG